rnacentral:lncRNA from 1 species
CUGCAUAAAACCAUGCCCAUAUCGCUAGCUUUCCAUGGACACCAGAAAAAUCUCAAGCUCACUCCCAAAUUGUUUUUGCCAUGGAAAAUCCUUUCCAAAGAUUGGCAUAUAAAUCUGAGUUACCCCCAGAAUCCAAAUUACAUCUGGUUUUCCAUGUCUCUCCUAAGAAAGAGAAUUGGAAAUCAAGAGGAAAUCUCACCUCCUCUGCCUGAAUCGCCAGCUACAUCCGCACCUCGCUCUAUCCCUCGAGCCAUUCUGGGAACUCGUAAGAAAGGGGGAGAAAAGGAGGCUCUUGUUUAUUGGCAAAAUCUCUCCCCUGCUGAGCCCGCAUGGGAAAGUCUUGCUGAAUUGAAGACACGAUUUUUCCUUAAUCUCUGGGAACUUAGACUUCAAGCUUGUCAGGCUGCAUCGUUUUUUGAAGAAAUUAUUGUUAAUAAGAUCUAAAAUGUUUGCAAAUUAAUAGGUCUACAUGUAUACAAAUAGAAAUAAACUUAUCUAAACUGUUUUACAUGUAGUAGAGCAUGAAAAAAAAAUAUUAUAGUACAUAAAACACCAUUGUAUUAUUGGAUGUUUGCUCAGCUGUGCGCAUGGAAGAGCCUGUGGGUCUUGAAACUUAUUCUUUCUGCAGAGGUGAGAAUCGUACUGUUUGAUUUUGCUGCUCAACAUCCUGCCCCUUUAUCCGUUUCUGGUGCAACUCCUUGACCUUCCUUUACUGCCAUACUAUUGAAUUGACAAAUAAUGGAUAAUUUAUGAGCUCUGAUAGGGUUUUGACUGUUAAACUGUUGUUUUACAAUAACAGAUUGGAGGCCUUAAUCCGUUUCCUCCAUUAAGCAGCUGCUAGCAGUCUCGUUUGCUGUGUUUUGAAGUUUGGAGGCCUAAACUCUUCUGCUCGAAAUGCUCGAUUUAAACAACUCAACAGACCAGUAAAAUAAAUUUAUGAAUAAAAUUAAUAUAAGAAAACGUUUAAUUUGACUUCUUAUCUAAAUCAGGUUUAAAAUAA